CUCAUAACCCUUUGUGAACCUUCAUACCUGUUGCUUCGGCGGCGCGCCUCCCGGGGCGUGCCCGCCGGCAUUAUCAGAAUCUCUGUUCGAACCCGACGAUACUUCUGAGUGUUCUAAGCGAACUGUUAAAACUUUCAACAACGGAUCUCUUGGCUCCAGCAUCGAUGAAGAACGCAGCGAAACGCGAUAUGUAAUGUGAAUUGCAGAAUUCAGUGAAUCAUCGAAUCUUUGAACGCACAUGGCGCCUUCCAGUAUCCUGGGAGGCAUGCCUGUCCGAGCGUCGUUUCAACCCUCGAGCCCCCGUGGCCCGGCGUUGGGGACCUGCCCAGGCAGUCCCCGAAAACCAGUGGCGGACCCGACGGGCCCUUCCUUUGCGUAGUAACAUCUGCCUCGCAUCGGGAGCCCCCGGGCUAUCCGGCCUCUAAACCCCCCUCAAGCCCGCUCCGGCGGCACCAAGGUUGACCUCGGAUCAGGUAGGAAUACCCGCUGAACUUAAGCAUAUCAAUAAGUCCGGAGGAAGG
rnacentral:rRNA from 1 species